GACGAACGCUGGCGGUGUGCUUCACACAUGCAAGUCGAACGAGGUAGCAAUACCUAGUGGCGGACGGGUGAGUAACGCGUGGGAAUCUGCCCAUAGGUGGGGGAUAACUAGCCGAAAGGUUAGCUAAUACCGCAUACGCCGAAAGGUAAAAGGAGUAAUCCGCCUUUGGAUGAGCCCGCGUCCGAUUAGCUAGUUGGUAGAGUAAAAGCCUACCAAGGCGACGAUCGGUAGCUGGUCUGAGAGGAUGAUCAGCCACAAUGGGACUGAGACACGGCCCAUACUCCUACGGGAGGCAGCAGUGGGGAAUUUUACGCAAUGGGGGAAACCCUGACGUAGCGACACCGCGUGAAUGAAGAAGCCCUUUGGGGUGUAAAAAUUCUGUCGGCUGGGAAGAAAAAAUGACGGCACCAGCAAAGGAAGCAUCGGCUAACUACGUGCCAGCAGCCGCGGUAAU
rnacentral:rRNA from 1 species